rnacentral:RNase_P_RNA from 1 species
AGGUAAACCCCACCCGGUGAAAGACCAAAUAGAAGAGGAGAAACGGCCCGUUUCGUCCGACUCUCGGGUAGGUCGCUCGAGGCCGAUGGUAACAUCGGUCCCAGAUAAAUGAUCACCAUCCUCCCGUUCAGGGAGGGGACAGAAUCCGGCUUACAAGUCUGCUUCACCA